AUUGAACGCUGGCGGCAUGCUUUACACAUGCAAGUCGAACGGCAGCGCGGGGCAACCUGGCGGCGAGUGGCGAACGGGUGAGUAAUAUAUCGGAACGUACCCAGAAGUGGGGGAUAACGUAGCGAAAGUUACGCUAAUACCCCAUACGAUCUACGGAUGAAAGUAGGGGACCGCAAGGCCUGAUGCGUUUGGAGCGGCCGAUAUCUGAUUAGCUAGUUGGUGGGGUAAAGGCUCACCAAGGCGACGAUCAGUAGCUGGUCUGAGAGGACGACCAGCCACACUGGAACUGAGACACGGUCCAGACUCCUACGGGAGGCAGCAGUGGGGAAUUUUGGACAAUGGGCGCAAGCCUGAUCCAGCAAUGCCGCGUGAGUGAAGAAGGCCUUCGGGUUGUAAAGCUCUUUUGUAAGGGAAGAAACGGUAGAGGCUAAUAUCCUUGGCUAAUGACGGUACCUGAAGAAUAAGCACCGGCUAACUACGUG
rnacentral:rRNA from 1 species